rnacentral:rRNA from 1 species
ACUUAGAGUUUGAUCCUGGCUCAGGACGAACGCUGGCGGUGCGCUUAAUGCAUGCAAGUCGAACGAGAACGGCGGCUUCGGUCGCUAAGUAAAGUGGCAGACGGCUGAGUAACACGUAAGUAACCAACCCCGGAGCGGGGAAUAAUCAUGAGAAAUCGUGCCUAAUACCCCGUACGUCCCAACAGGCGUUGCCGUUGGGGGAAAGGCUUCGGUCGCUCUGGGACGGGCUUGCGGCCUAUCAGGUAGUUGGUGGGGUAAAGGCCCACCAAGCCGUAGACGGGUACCCGGUGUGAGAGCACGAACGGGCAGAGGGGGACUGAGACACGGCCCCCACUCCUACGGGAGGCAGCAGCAGGGAAUCUUGCGCAAUGGGCGAAAGCCUGACGCAGCGACACCGCGUGGAGGAAGAAGGCUUUCGGGUCGUAAACUCCUUUUCUCGGGGAAGAGAACGGACGGUACCCGAGGAAUAAGCAUCGGCUAACUACGUGCCAGCAGCCGCGGUAAUACGUAGGAUGCGAGCGUUGUCCGGAUUUACUGGGCGUAAAGGGCGAGUAGGCGGCCCGCUAAGUCUCAUGUGAAAUCUCCCGGCUCAACUGGGAGGGGUCAUGAGAAACUGGCAGGCUUGAGGUCAGCAGAGGAAAGCGGAAUUCCCGGAGUAGCGGUGAUAUGCGUAGAUACCGGGAGGAACACCAGAGGCGAAGGCGGCUUUCUGGGCUGCACCUGACGCUGAGGCGCGAAAGCGUGGGGAGCGAACCGGAUUAGAUACCCGGGUAGUCCACGCCCUAAAUGGUGGAUACUAGACAUGGGGGGUAUCGACCCCCUCUGUGUCGUAGUUAACGCGUUAAGUAUCCCGCCUGGGGAGUACGGCCGCAAGGCUAAAACUCAAAGGAAUUGACGGGGGC